rnacentral:rRNA from 1 species
UAAGCAUAUCAAUAAGCGGAGGAAAAGAAACCAACAGGGAUUGCCCCAGUAACGGCGAGUGAAGCGGCAACAGCUCAAAUUUGAAAUCUGGCCUUCGGGUCCGAGUUGUAAUUUGGAGAGGAUGCUUUUGGCGCGGCGCCGUCCGAGUUCCUUGGAACAGGACGCCAUAGAGGGUGAGAGCCCCGUACGGGCGGCCGCCUAGCCUUUGUAAAGCUCCUUCGACGAGUCGAGUAGUUUGGGAAUGCUGCUCAAAAUGGGAGGUAAAUUUCUUCUAAAGCUAAAUACCGGCCAGAGACCGAUAGCGCACAAGUAGAGUGAUCGAAAGAUGAAAAGCACUUUGAAAAGAGGGUUAAAAAGUACGUGAAAUUGUUGAAAGGGAAGCGCCUGUGACCAGACUUGCGACCCGUGGAUCAUCCGGUGUUCUUCACCGGUGCACUCCGCGGGCUGCAGGCCAGCAUCGGUUUUCCUAGGGGGUUAAAGGUCGCAGGAACGUGGCUCUUUCGGGAGUGUUAUAGCCUGUGGCGUCAUGCCUCUGGGGAGACCGAGGACCGCGCUUCGGCAAGGAUGCUGGCGUAAUGGUCACCGGCGACCCGUCUUGAAACACGGACCAAGGAGUCAAGCAUUGGGGCGAGUGUCUGGGUGCCAAACCCGCACGCGAAAUGAAAGUAAACGCAGGUGAGAGCUUCGGCGCAUCACCGACCGAUCCUGAUGUCUUCGGAUGGAUUUGAGUAAGAGCCUUACCGCUUGGACCCGAAAGAUGGUGAACUAUGCCUGUAUAGGGUGAAGCCAGAGGAAACUCUGGUGGAGGCUCGCAGCGGUUCUGACGUGCAAAUCGAUCGUCAAAUAUGGGCAUGGGGGCGAAAGACUAAUCGAACCAUCUAGUAGCUGGUUACCGCCGAAGU